rnacentral:sRNA from 1 species
UCUCCAGCCCUUCUUAUUGAUUUUCGAUUGAUCUUUAUUAUUAAUCAGUAUAUCUAUUUGCUCAUCAUGUAGGUUGCAAAUACUUUCCUCGUUUUCCCCUUAUCUUAUGGUGCAAGUCUGUAAUCUGAUCUGUAAACUUCCAGGCACCAACGUUUUAUCAGGUGGUGGCAGUUUUUCACGCUGCUCUGAGGACAGCACGGCAUAAUAAUGGGCAACUGGCAGUCAGGCCUCCAGGGCCCUCCUACUGACUCCUCCUGUAUUUCUUUUGCCCUUAGUAUGUUUUCUCAACUCUGAGAUUUCUAGAAGCAACUUGAUAGGACAUUGUGACACCUGAGAUUUCAUAUGCCACCAUAGCGGCCAGCUCUCGGUGCGGUGUGCGGAAUGCCUUGAGAAACAGACACUGAAAUGGGAUCCAGCCUCCUGCUUCUGGGACCCGACUGGAGCAACGGAGAGGGAGAGAGAUGACGGCCCUGCCCGCGGCAGAUACCAGAGGAAGCUCUGGGCUCUUUCAGAUCCUUGACACCUUUCACAGAGACGUGAAGAUGCAAUAAAAAGUCCCCGUGCUUGCAAAUAAAGUGAAGCAGGCACAGUAAUUAAAGAGGUGGAUAUGGCUGCACAUUUAGGUGUUUUGGAAGAUUUCUGCUUCUGUGUUGCAGUAGAGAAGGAAGGAGACAGGAUUGCAUUUAAUUAGCCCGAGUCCCAGGCGACUCGGGAUUUUCCAUGCCUGUUAGCCACUACACACCAGCACGCUGCUGAGUUGGAAGCGCCUUUCUGGACCGUUUGAUAAGCAUUGUGAGUCCUCUCAGAGGACCCCUUUCACAACCCACAAUAGCCCGCCUAGCAAAACAUCACCACAUGUUCACAGCACCACUUUCCUUUUCAAGGCUGCUGUCUUACUGGAAUCAGGUUUUCCCCGGUGCUUGCUUUGGCUCCCAGCCACCAGCUGCUCCUGUGCCUGGAACAGGGCAAAUGAUGGAGAGUGGAUGGUUGCAGCAGAUGCUGCUGGUACCCUGCCCACAGCCCCUCAGCAGGCCGGGUUCUUUAGACUCUCCCGUGGCUUUGAUCUGUACUCAGAGCUAAUGGCCCAGGAGGCAGCCUUCUCUCAGUUUCCUUUACCUGGAGCAACACGGAGGUUUGCUGCACGCAGUUGCCCAGACGCCCUGAUAGGACUGGGUCCCAGAGAUUCACAGUGAAAACCUGCCUAUUAACACACCACGUUCUGGCUUUCUUUUCUCAUCUCACUCUCCGACUCUCCUACUGCUGUUUCCUGGGAUCGCUUUUCAAUUCAACACUGCAGCUCAAAAGCCUUAUCUGACAGCAUCAGACAAGCAUGGAGAUGUUGAAAUUGCCAGGCAGAGGACACCACCUGGGAAAUCAGGACCAAAAGUUUAUGUCCUGCCUUCUCCCUCUAUGCGAAGUAAAAACAAACAACAGAAGCAAAACAAGCAAAUACCAACAACAAUAAAAUCUAGCAACAUCUGUUAUGUUGUCUACAGAGGACGGGUCCUAAUUGUUUGAACUGGUCUGUGCAAAUGGAUUAGUUUUUACAUGGCUGGAUUUGAAGUGCUUCCAGGGAAGGAUUCCAACCAUCCUUACUACUGAUUCUUGAAGUUUGUAUAAGCUUCCUGAUUCUUUACACCAUACCCAGCACAUUGCCUGGGAAUUGUGGGAAGGAGAUCUUUGACUUCCAGCUACCCAGAGGCUGGUUCAAA